CGCCCUCUCGCGUACGUAUCAACAACACAAAAACGUCAUGACCGGUCUUCAGUUUCACCUUAUCAUGAUCAUGUCAUGCUCCCAUCAAAUUAAUUGCAAACAUUCAUGUGAUAAAAUCUAUGUUAAAUUUGUUUACGCAGGGUCUUACUUAGGCUGUUUGUAAUAGAGCGAUAAGACUAGAGUUCGUUUAUCAGAACAUCAAACAGGGAAGAAGAAUUACUCUUUUGCUGCAUUUCACUUGAAAACUUCCUCGCACUUAGCGCAGAGGUGUUGUAAUUGUAAAGUGUGGCCCGUCUGUCUGCCUCUGUGCCCCGUGGAUAACGGUCGGUGGUGUGCGGUGUUUCUGAUGUCGAAGUUCAGAUCCUCAACAUCAGUCUACCGGUAUGUCAGAAGUGACGCUGUGCGUGGUGAACUGAUUCUAGUGGAAUGUUAAUUUUGACUUUUGAAAUUUAAAAAAGAAAAAACAUGGCAAAGUUUGACUGUUUCAACCAAGUGAUCAGUCGACAGUUCUACCGCUAUGGCCGUUUGAUUGCACGACGCCCGGCCAUAUUUCUCAUUGUGCCACUCAUUGUCGCGGGUUGCCUGAGUUCCGGGAUGAUAUUCCUGACAAUUGAAACAGAUGCGGCUUACCUCUUCACACCAGACAAUAGCCGGGCUCGCGACGAGCUGGCAGAGAUGGCGGCAUUGUUUCCGGUCAACUAUGAGAAGUUUCUCCCCAACCGUGUCCUGACCACUCAAGAGUUUGGCGGCAGUGUGGUGAUUACGACCAGAGAUGGGAGCAACAUUCUGAGGGAGGAAGUCAUGGCCGAGAUCAUUCACCUAGACAACACACUCAGAUCCUUGGAGAUCCAAGCACCCGGCUCAAAUAGCAGCAUAACCUAUGCCGACAUUUGCUGUCACUUCACCCACGAUCAGUGUCUGGAAGACCCAGUUUUGAAACUUCUGAACUACUCCUCAAAGAGUGUGACUUCCAUGAACCUCACUUAUCCAUUUUCUUACAUUGAUCUCAUAGACCUCCCAGUAUCUUCAACUGAUAUUUCCUUUGACUUCAUGGAGGGCCUUCCAUUUGGAAGUGUCGAUCAGUUGGCUUUUCAACAAGAUGGCAUUCCUGAUUUGAGCUUUCUCAUCCCCACUGGGCCACAGAACAUCAGCAUCAAUAUUGGUGCAUCGUUAGGGGGUGUCGUCCUGUACGAAAACUCUGACGUCAUCAGGUCGGCCAAGGCGUUAAACAUCAUGUAUUUUCUGCGAUCGGGAACAGAAGAGGAACGUAUCCUGGCAGAGGAGUGGGAAAGAGCAUUCCUAGAGACCUUCCUGACACUCUUCAGUGGUUACCUGCACAUUGAAGUGUCAGUAUUUGCUUCCACGACGCUGUCAGAUGAGCUCAUCGCCAUGGCAACCCGCGUCAUGCCCCGGUUUUGCAUCACCUUUAGCCUCUUGAUCGGCUUUGCCGUGGGAUCGUGCAUGAUGAUGGACUGGGUGUUCAGUAAACCCUGGCUGGGACAGUUUGGGGUUAUAUCGGCUAUGCUGGCCAUAGCGUCCUCAAUGGGCCUGCUGUCAUUCUGCGGCCUGCCCUUUAAUGAGGUUUCUGCAUCCAUGCCAUUUCUAGCAAUAGGCAUCGGCAUUGAUGACAUGUUCAUCAUGCUGGCCGCAUGGCGGAAGACCUCUAUCAAGCUCUCCAUAGAGGAGCGGCUGGGCCAAACGUACGCGGAGGCCGCUGUGUCCAUCACCAUAACCAGCAUCACCGAUGCCCUGGCCUUUGGCAUUGGUUCCAUCACCAGACUACCAGCCAUCAGGGUGUUCUGCCUCUACAGUGGAAUGGCCAUCAUCUUUGAUUACCUGUACCAGAUCUCAUUCUUCGGAGCUUGCAUGGUUUACACGGGUCGAAGAGAGGCCAAGCGGAAACACUGCACCACCCUCAAACCAGUCUUGCCCAAGGACGAGGCGCCCUCAGAGUUUUACCGCCUCUUUUGUUCUGGAGGCGUGUCCAAACAGUCACCUACAGGGGAGCCCGACGACCACGCCAUAAUGGGUUUCUUCAGGGAUUACUAUGGUCCAUUUAUCACCUCGCCCAGUGCUAAGAUUAUAACAGUUAUCUUGUAUGGUUUGUACGUUGGUGCAGCCAUUUUUGGAUGUUUGUCCUUGACAGAAGGGAUGCAGUAUAAGGAUAUUUUUUCUGAUGAUUCAUACGCCCAUCAUUACAUGAGCGAGCGAGCUGAAUAUUUUACCGCAUUUGCCGCUCCGAUCUCUGUGGUCAUUAAUGAACCAGUGGCAUAUUGGGAAGAGGACAUACAAGAGGAAAUUGAGAAUGUUACCAGGACCUUUGAGUCUGUCAACCACAUCUAUGAUUCAAGAUUCUCCGAUUCGUGGCUGAGAAAAUAUCUAGAGUAUCUGGAGAUGGAGAACAUCUACGACUCAGAAAACGCUACAGGGUUAGACCAGCAGCGGUUUCUGGCAAUACUUCAAGAAGACUUCUUGACAAACCCCCUAUUUGAACAUUUUGUCCUGGAUGUUAAAUUCGAAAACAUAUCCGGUCAGAAUGCAAUCUCUGCCUCACGUUUGAUCUUUCUGCCAGGAAACUUAACGACAACCAAGGGGGAGAGUGAGUUGAUGCUGGCCGUCAGGGCGAUUGCGGACAACGCUUCCCUCCCGCUCUUCAUAUCAUCCCCGCCGUUUGAAUUCUUUGAGCAGUACCUGGUUGUUCUCCCCAAUACCAUGCAGAAUCUCAUCAUCGCCACCGUCUCCAUGUGCAUCAUCUCCCUGGUCUUCAUCCCCCACCCUAUCUCGGCGGCCAUGAUCACUGUCUGUGUCAUCUCCAUCGAGCUGGGCGUCAUCGGGCUUAUGUCCCUGUGGGGGGUCAGCAUGGAUGGCGUCUCCAUGAUCAACAUCAUCCUCUGCAUCGGCUUCAGUGUGGACUUCUCGGCCCACAUCACCUACUCCUUUGUCACGGCGCCUUGCCGGACGGGCAACCAGGCGGCCAUCUUUGCCUUGCACAGCCUCGGCAUGCCCAUCCUCCAGGGGGCAGCCUCCACCGUCCUGGGCAUCAUCGCAAUUGCCAACUCCCCGGCCUACAUAUUUCGCAGUUUCUUUAAGACCAUGUUCCUGGUCAUGACCUUGGGACUCCUGCACGGCAUACUCUUCCUGCCGGUUCUUCUCACCCUCCUCAGACCCUGCAUGCGCCUGGGACAGCCCAAGCCCAAGCCUGCCUCAGAUGUGCAGACGACCACAAAGGAGGACAGUGCAGCAAGGGUCGACUUCGAUGUAAACCUGGAAGAGAUGCCACACCGAGACCUGGAGAGGGACUUACAGAGGGAGGAGUGUAACAGCAAGGCUUCAUCCACUCAGGAACCCCAAGAAUGUGAAGCCUUUCUUUAGAUUUUCUUUCCUCACAUCCUAAUCUCCUUCGAGGCAGGGACACUCAUGAACUGAUGGAUGGUCUCAGCUGUACCCAAGAUGCGAGCAUGCUUAUCGGGGAAGAUAACUUAGUGCCCAGAACCAAAAGUUUGAAGAAGUUGAGGUGCAAGACCCACGCGUCAGAGGCACAAGCUAUUGCCGUGGAUGCAGGUGACUCCCAAAAAGACAUUCAUCCUUAACCAUGACAUCACGGGAGCCAGACAUAAUUGCUGCCGAAGGCUUUUUUUGUGGAUGAACUCUUCCAGUAAAAGGGAAAACAUUUUAUUUCCAAGUAUUGGUUGGGGCAAGAUGAAAGAAGAUUUAAAGAUGCACACAUGCACAAAAAAAUCUUUCAAAUGAAUAUGCAGUUUAAAGUUUGCUGACAAAGUAUGAUCCUGGCUUAUGUAAAGAACAGUUUUGCUGAUUGUUUUAAACAUAAAAUGGAACUGGUGUUCCUACCUGUACGGUAUAAUUGUCAGGUUCGUUAAUAUGUUGCCACAGUAUUGUGCUAUUUAUCAAAGUAAUGAUUUUUUUUUUAAUACAACAUUUAGUCAGUGGUGAUCUUGACAGCCUGAAUAGAAAACUGAAUAUUUAUUUUGUGAAAAAUAAUUGGAAGGAAGGAAAUAUUUCUGCAAUUGAAUGUAGACAGAGAAUGGUCUCUUGAGUGUGUUUUAAACUUAUGCAUACGGCAAUGCACGUAGUCAAUAUUUGUAUAUUGGCCUACAGAUAUUGUUCCUUUUAGUGACAAAUGUUGCUGCAGUUUUGUUUAGAGCAUUUUUCUAACUUUUUCAAGUUCUAAUUAAUAAUAAUUUAAUACUUCUUGUGUGCGAACAUAUUUGGACCCCAUUUACCCAAGUAAUUAUUCAUCGUCAUGUGACCCAAUCCAACAAGAUUGUAAAAAGUAUGGAAGCGGUGACCUUAAUGCACUCCUACCGAUGAAACUGGGUCACCGCUCACCAAGGUUACUUUUAGAAGUAUGCCUGUUGAAAAAAAAUCAUGCACCACGGUGAAAAUUGAUGGGAACUUUGAAUUGUCUUUUAACUUACUGUCCGGGGUGUGAGACUACAUAAAGAUCAAAAUGAAGAUCCCUUCUUGCAUUUUGGAAUGUAACUGGGAAAAAAGUCAUUGUGACAUGCCCUCUGAGUCAGCUUCUAUGGGAUCUGGACAGAAAAUAAAGUAAAUAAAGAGACGGGAGACUGUUUCCUUCGGGGCGAGGGCGACUGUAUUUUAUGCAUGCAGAGCAGUGCUGACGUACUGAAAGUUAUUAAAUAAGUACAGUAAAUCCUAAGUUAAUUGUGCUUUCAUUUUCCAAUAUACAUGUUACCAUAACACUGGUGCAUUUCUCCCAAGGGAAGGGACUCUCAUACACUGAUGGCCAAUGAAAAACACCACUUUUUACUUUCUGGGCUUGGUUUUUACCCACUGACCCAGCAGUACAAUAAUACUUAUGAUCGCCUAAUUGGAGACAGUGCAAUCAUAGAUGCAUGAAGUGAACGAAAUACCAAGUGGUUUGGCUAAUCCUCCCCACACUACUCACGGUGAGAAAUAGGAUGGUUGACAACUUUUUCUAAAGUCAAAAGGUGCUUUUUCACUGUCGAUGUAAAAUUCAAGUACGAGGGGAAAAAAAUGCGAGGUCCAACCCCUGAGCCAUCCUUUUAUACAUGUACAUGUUAGGAAAUCCCGUGUAAGCGUGACGGUGAGAAUAAACCAAAAUGCUUGAGUCUGACGCUCAGUGCAUGAGAGUUAGCAGCCAACUUUAAGUUCUGAAUUUCAAGAUCAUGUUGGAACAGCAGCUUUAGCCAGUGCGUGAAAACACGGAGCUAUAAAAAAGAGGUUUAGUCUUAAUAAAAUUAGCGAACUCUUCACGUAGGAUACCGUUAUAUACAAAGCCCUCAGCAAAUAGGCGACGUCUCAGGUUCGGCUGAGACUUGGUUCAUGUCAGUACUGGAUUAUUCCAGAGACCUCUGUUGCCCAAUCGGUUGGUAGCUGUGUCAGGGUCACUUAAUAAAACUCACUUGACGGUAUAUUUGA